rnacentral:lncRNA from 1 species
AGAUUUUAAAAUAACUAGAGGCUCUAAAGAGCCUGUGUCGCUCACCUUGGUCUAUGUGAAUAUUAAACAAAGGAAGCAGAUGGAUUCAUGACAAAAUUGUGUUUUGGUGAUGGUGAUGUGUUUGUACAUCUUACUUUACUGAACAUUCUUGCUACUUACAAUUAUCUCUAUCUAUAAUGAACUUGGCCCAGUAGUUUCAGUGGAAAAUGUUAGUUAAAAUUUACAAAUUUUAUGAAAAUUGUUAAAAUUGACUAUAAAGGACAAUAACUCC